rnacentral:misc_RNA from 1 species
UUUCCGUAGGUGAACCUGCGGAAGGAUCAUUAUUGAAUUUAUUAGAGAGGAGCUGUGCUGGCCUUCCGGUUCAUGUGCACGCUAUGAUCGACCAUCUACACCUGUGAACUUGUGUAAGAGCUUUUUGCAGUCCGAUGGCUUGGUGCUGUAGAACGGCCGAUGGUCUUCGCUGCACGGUGUUUCCUACGUUUUAUACACCCUUAUACGUAUGUCUACAGAAUGUUUUUUUGAUCUUGGUUGCCUUAAAAAAGCAGCUCAAGUUAUAUACAACUUUCAACAACGGAUCUCUUGGUUCUC